CUGGGUUUAGACCGUCGUGAGACAGGUUAGUUUUACCCUACUGAUGAAGCGUUGUUGCCACAGUAAUCCUGCUCAGUACGAGAGGAACCGCAGAUUCAGACAUUUGGUUUUUCACUUAUUACAUUUAACUUUCACCUUAAUUAUUCCAAAUUUUCAACUAAUAAACUAAUACAUCCUAGAGUGUGCCAUGAGACUAUGUUAACUACACAUUAUAUGCAUGUUAUGCUUUUUAACCUGGAAAUUAAACACAUUAAAUUAUGCAUAUUAAACCAGUUCUUGAUUACAAAUCUUCCACAGCUUAUUUUUUUGUCUUUCAGAGGCAAAAGCAUUCGUAGAAACGGGAAUAUCGGUUAAGUUUGGA
rnacentral:ncRNA from 1 species